AUAUAAUAUGAUGAAUUAUAAAUUUUGACUCAACCAUGGAGAACAAAAUUUCGAGCUUUUUAACACUGACAUUUU
rfam:Tetranychus urticae London genomic scaffold, scaffold_9